rnacentral:rRNA from 1 species
AAAUGAAUAGACGGGGGCCCGCACAAGCGGUGGAGCAUGUGGUUUAAUUCGAUGAUACGCGAGGAACCUUACCAGGGCUUGAAUGCGGCCCGACAGGCCCGGAAACGGGCCUUCCCUCGGGCGGGCCGCAAGGUGCUGCAUGGUUGUCGUCAGCUCGUGCCGUGAGGUGUCAGGUUAAGUCCUAUAACGAGCGCAACCCCUGCCGUUAGUUGCCAGCAUGUUAUGAUGGGGACUCUAACGGGACUGCCGGUGCAAACCGCGAGGAAGGCGGGGACGACGUCAAAUCAUCACGGCCCUUACGCCCUGGGCCACACACGUGCUACAAUGGCCGGUACAGAGGGCUGCCACCCCGCGAGGGGGCGCGAAUCCUCAAAGCCGGUCACAGUUCGGAUCGGGGCCUGCAACUCGGCCCCGUGAAGCUGGAAUCGCUAGUAAUCGGAUAUCAGCCAUGAUCCGGUGAAUACGUUCCCGGGCCUUGUACACACCGCCCGU